GACAGAGGGGGCAAGCGUUGUCCGGACUGACUGGGCGUAAAGCGCGUGCAGGCGGCCUGGUAAGUCGGCCGUGAAAGCGCCAGGCUUAACCUGGCGAGGUCGGGCGAGACUGCUAGGCUGGAGGCCGGUAGAGGGCGGUGGAAUUCCGGGUGUAGUGGUGGAAUGCGUAGAGAUCCGGAGGAACACCAGUGGCGAAGGCGGCCGCCUGGGCCGGUCCUGACGCUGAGACGCGAAAGCGUGGGGAGCAAUCCGG
rnacentral:rRNA from 1 species